rnacentral:rRNA from 1 species
CAGUCGCCGCGGUAAGACAGAGGAUGGAAGCGUUAUCCGGAAUGAUUGGGCGUAAAGCGUCUGUAGGUGGCUUUUCAAGUCCGCCGUCAAAUCCCAGGGCUCAACCCUGGACAGGCGGUGGAAACUACCAAGCUGGAGUACGGUAGGGGCAGAGGGAAUUUCCAGUGGAGCGGUGAAAUGCGUUGAGAUCGGAAAGAACACCAACGGCGAAAGCACUCUACUGGGACGACACUGACACUAAGAGACGAAAGCUAGGGGAGCAAAUGGGAUUAGAUACCCGCGUAGUCCCUGUCUCUUAUAC